UUUCCGUAGGUGAACCUGCGGAAGGAUCAUUACCGAGCGAGGGCCCACUGGGUCCAACCUCCCACCCGUGUCUCUUGUACCCCGUUGCUUCGGGGGGCCCGCCUCACGGCGGCCUGGGGGCGUUACGCCCCCGGGCCCGCGCCCGCCGAAGACACCCACGAACUCUGUCUGAAGAAGGCAGUCUGAGUGAAAUGAUAAAUUAUUUAAAACUUUCAACAACGGAUCUCUUGGUUCCG
rnacentral:misc_RNA from 1 species